AACUGGCCCUCGUCAUGCUAGGAAGUGUGAGGGCAAGAGCUGGAAUACACUGAGGCAGCCUUGCUGUUGGGGGUUAUUGGCAGCUGUUGGGGGUUAGAGACAGGACUCUCAUGGAGAUGUUCAAGAAAAAGAACAACUUCAGUGGAAGAAGAAGAAGAUAGGAGCCCAGGUCCUGUGUUUCACCAAGACAGCCGUGCAAAGCAGAUGCUGCCAAAAAGGUGCAAAGUGGUUUGUCAGCUCUUCUGCAUGUUCUAACAAAUUAGACAUGCAUCCCAAAAGGUUUCCUAGACUUUCCAUCACCACCAGUGAAUUCUGAGUGACAAUAGUGUGGAAUUUGGAAGAAUGGAAGAGAAACUGAAGUGGAGAGAUGGUGAAAGAGAAGAAAAAAUGAAGAAAGAUGCUUGCAAAAAUACUGCUGUGGGUCCUGAGAUGAGGAUUCUGGGAGGGCUGAAAUGGAUGCCCCUGACAGCUCCCUUUGAGUUCCUGUUCAUCUGAAGUACACCAGCUUUCUAGAUAUGCUGUCACUUUCCUUCUGCAGAGCCACAGUGGUGUCCUGUCUUCUCAGACCUCUUCUCACCUCAAAUCACUUAGGACUCGGCCACCAGACAGAUUUGGGAUUUCAGAACUUUUCAGAUGUUAGAAAGGUAAAUGGUAUAUAUUGCAUAUGUAGUAUUUCCAGUAGAGUCUGGGUCAGCACCUCAUAAGCAAAUGUAUUAAUAUUUUGACCACAACAUAUAUGCAU
ensembl:lncRNA LINC02615 long intergenic non-protein coding RNA 2615